UUUCCGUUCCACUAUGGGUUGAUUUUGCAAUUGCCUAAUUUGAUACAAGGGUAUUGCUCUGGAUAUUAAAUUAAGAUAAAAUUUAAUAUUGCUACGUAUACAUAUAAAAGUGGUAAUCUACGAUUCGAUCCAUAAACAACCUGCUUUAAGAAAAUUUAGAUUUCAUAUGGAUGGAUUAGGAUCAUAAAUGAGUUAAUCAAUUAAUCUAAGCUUAUUUAUUAAAU
rnacentral:lncRNA from 1 species